GACGAACGCUGGCGGCGUGCUUAACACAUGCAAGUCGAACGGAGUGGCGAACUGGUGAGUAACACGUGGGGGAUCUGCCUUGCACUUCGGGAUAAGCUUGGGAAACUGGGACUAAUACCGGAUAGUGCAAGAUGAGCUCGCGGCCUAGCAGCUUGUUGGUGGGGUAAUGGCCUACCAAGGCGGUGACGGGUAGCCGGCCUGAGAGGGUGUACGGGCACAUUGGGCCUGAGAUACGGCGCAGAAGCCUACGGGAGGCAGCAGUGGGGAAUAUUGCACAAUGGGCGGAAGUCGGAUGCAGCGGCGCCGGGUGGGGAAUGAAGGCCUUCGGGUUGUAAACGCCUUUCGUCAGGGACGCGGUACCUGUAUAAGAAGCACCGGCUAACUACGUGCCAGCAGCCGCGGUAAUUC
rnacentral:rRNA from 1 species